GUGCUCACUUUGGUAGCACAUAUAUUAAAAUUAGAAUGAUACAGAGAAAAUUAGCAUGGCCCCUGUGAAAGGAUUACAUGCAAAUUCAUGAAGCAUUCUAUAUUUUU